UACAGAGGGUGCGAGCGUUAAUCGGAAUUACUGGGCGUAAAGCGUGCGCAGGCGGUUUGUUAAGACAGGUGUGAAAUCCCCGAGCUCAACUUGGGAAUGGCGCUUGUUACUGGCAAGCUAGAGUGUGUCAGAGGGAGGUAGAAUUCCACGUGUAGCAGUGAAAUGCGUAGAGAUGUGGAGGAAUACCGAUGGCGAAGGCAGCCGUCCUGGGAGUAACACUGACGCUCAUGCACGAAAGCGUAGGG
rnacentral:rRNA from 1 species